CCUACGGGAGGCAGCAGUGAGGAAUAUUGGUCAAUGGCCGUUAGGCUGAACCAGCCAAGUCGCGUGAAGGAAGAAGGAUCUAUGGUUUGUAAACUUCUUUUAUAGGGGAAUAAAGGUAUCCAUGUGUGGAUAUUUGCAUGUACCCUAUGAAUCAGCAUCGGCUAACUCCGUGCCAGCAGCCGCGGUAAUACGGAGGAUGCUAGCGUUAUCCGGAUUUAUUGGGUUUAAAGGGUGCGUAGGCUGUUUUUUAAGUCAGCUGUGAAAGUUUGUGGCUCAACCAUAAAAUUGCAGUUGAAACUGGCAGACUUGAGUGUGUUUGAGGUAGGCGGAAUGCGUGGUGUAGCGGUGAAAUGCAUAGAUAUCAAGCAGAACUACGAUUGCGAAGGCAGCUUACUAAGCCGUAACUGACACUGAGGCACGAAAGCGUGGGGAUCAAACAGGAUUAGAUACCCGAGUAGUC
rnacentral:rRNA from 1 species